rnacentral:misc_RNA from 1 species
GAUGAAGAACGCAGCGAAAUGCGAUAAGUAAUGUGAAUUGCAGAAUUCCGUGAAUCAUCGAAUUUUUGAACGCACAUUGCGCCCCCUGGUAUUCCGGGGGGCAUGCCUGUCCGAGCGUCAUUGCUGCCCUCAAGCACGGCUUGUGUGUUGGGCCUCCGUCCUCCUCCCGGGGGACGGGCCCGAAAGGCAGCGGCGGCACCGCGUCCGGUCCUCGAGCGUAUGGGGCUUCGUCACCCGCUCUUGUAGGCCCGGCCGGCGCUUGCCGACACAUCAAUCUUUUUUCCAGGUUGACCUCGGAUCAGGUAGGGAUACCCGCUGAACUUAAGCAUAUCAAUAAGCGGAGGA